CUAAAUGGAGCAUCUUCAUUGGCAGAGGCAGAGUUGAACUUUGACAAGCCAACUGAUUUUCUUGGCUGCUUUUCUGACCGGUUGAAGUUCCUUCUUGAGCAGCUGCAACAUGUCGCGAAAAUCACAAUCGGAAGCUGGUGCCUCAAGGUUCUAGCAGCUGCAAAGGCAAAUGGAACGCCGCACCUAUCAUCGAGAUGGCGCAGUAUCAUAGUGUAUCCUACAAUUUGUAAACGCGGCCUUCUGGGGUUGGCAUACUUGCUGCAGAGUUCUCCGCUCCUGGAAAGGCUAGUCAUAUGCGAUCCAAAAUCCAACGAAUUAACGUUCAAGAACAAGGAUUUGCCGAAGCUCUG